rnacentral:sRNA from 1 species
GCGUACUCUGGGGGGGGCAACAAUUGCCAG